rnacentral:lncRNA from 1 species
CGUAACUGGUCGAAUAAAAGACCAAGCACAGGAAUUCGUAUUGGUGGGACAAAUGGGAUUAUUCCACCUUGUCCUAAGUGUAAUAAACUCCACAAGGGUGAAUGCUUAUUUGGUAAGAACAUGUGCUUUCGAUGUGGUAAGCCGGGACACAUUGCCUUACACUGUACAGAACCUCCAAAGAAGAAAGAUGAUGAUCAAGAUAAGAACAAGAAGGGGAAGGCCCGAGUUUUUUCACUAAACCAGCAUGAGGCGGAACAGGAUCCGAAUGUGAUAGCAGGUAUUAUAAUAUUAUUUAGAAUAUCUAUUUAUGUUCUAAAUUUUACAUUCUUCGACGCUAGCUCUAACACUAUUAUUACGGAAACAGGUAUCCUAUCAUUAUCUGAUGUACCUGCUUACGUACUUUUUGACUCUGGGGCUACAAAUUCGUUUAUCUCUGCAUCCUUCGUCAUUAGGUCUAACUUUGCACCUGUGAAAACGAAUAAUGAAUUAGAGGUUAGCAUCCCUUCAGGAAAAACUCUUUGCACUAAUCAGAUGACUAAGGCUAUGAAAUUAGAGAUUGAUGGGAAAAUACUACAGGUAGACUUAUACAUUUUGGAGAUGAACGAUUUUGACGUUAUUUUAGGCAUGGACUGGUUGGGACUCAACCAUGCAACCAUUCUAUGUCGUGAAAGAGAAGUAUUAUUUCAUAGGCCGGGAGAGGAAGAGUUCCAUUUCUUUGGAGCAAAGUUCAAAUCUCUACCUCGUCUUGUAUCGGCAAUACAAGCGGAGAAGAUGUUGAGAAAGGAGUCAUGUCAGGGAUUCUUAGUUAAUAUCAACGGUUCCAAACAUACCGAGACAACCAUUAAAGAUAUUAACAUUGUGCGAGAUUUUGUAGACGUAUUUCCAGAAGACUUACCCGGCAUUCCACAAGAUAGGCAGGUGGAAUUUACUAUUGACUUAGUUCCCAGUGCUGCACCAGUAUCUAAGGCUCCGUACCGAAUGGCACCGAAAGAACUCCAAGAGUUGAAAUUACAAUUGGAGGAGUUACUGGAAAAAGGAUUCAUUCGACCAAGCGUAUCUCCUUGGGGCGCUCCAGUACUUUUUGUGAAGAAGAAGGAUGGGAGUAUGAGGAUGUGCAUUGACUAUCGAGAAUUGAAUCAUUUAACUAUAAAAAAUAGAUACCCCCUACCAAGAAUAGAAGAUUUAUUCGACCAGUUAAGGGGCGCAACGGUGUUUUCGAAGAUCGACUUGAGGUCGGGGUAUCAUCAACUGAAGAUCAAGGCAAGCGAUAUAUCAAAAACUGCUUUCAGAACCCGUUAUGGGCACUACGAGUUUACUGUCAUGCCUUUUGGUUUGACCAAUGCUCCGGCGGUGUUUAUGGACCUAAUGAACCGAGUGUUUCAUCAAUAUUUGGACCAGUUCGUCAUAGUAUUUAUUGACGAUAUACUUGUGUACUCCAAAGAUAGGAAGCAGCAUGAGGAACAACUUAGAAUAGUACUCGAUACUUUGAGGAAGGAGAAAUUAUAUGCCAAACUCAAGAAGUGCGAAUUUUGGCUCGAUCGCAUAGGUUUUCUUGGUCAUGUGGUUACCGCCCAAGGAAUUGAAGUAGACCCAGUUAAAGUGGAAGCAGUGAUUAAUUGGCCUAGCCCGUCGAGUGCAAGUGAAGUUCGCAGUUUCUUAGGAUUGGCCGGCUAUUAUCGGAGAUUUAUAGAAGAUUUCUCAAAAAUAGCAGGUCCGAUGACUCAGUUGACUCGAAAGGGGGUGAAGUUCCAGUGGACAGAAAACUGUGAGAAGUGUUUUCAAGAACUUAAACAGAGACUAGUCUCAGCUCCUAUUUUGACUAUACCUGAAGGUUCGGAUGGGUUUGUAAUUUAUAGCGAUGCCUCCAAACAAGGCUUGGGUUGUGUUUUGAUGCAACAUGGAAAGGUGAUUGCUUAUGCCUCGAGACAGUUGAAACAGUACGAGCAGAACUAUCCGACGCAUGACCUAGAACUAGCAGCGGUGGUUCAUGCCCUAAAGAUAUGGCGUCAUUAUCUCUAUGGUGGAAAAUGUGAAAUCUAUACAGACCACAAGAGCCUCAAAUACUUCUUCACACAGAAGGAACUAAAUAUGAGACAGAGGAGAUGGUUGGAAUUAGUGAAAGAUUAUGACUGUACAAUCCAUUACCAUCCAGGUAAGGCUAAUGUAGUUGCAGAUGCCCUAAGCAGGAAGACAGGAUCACAAUUAGCAGUUUUACCCACGGUGCAGGAACACUUGAUACAUGACUUUGAAAAGCUGAGGUUGGAAGUUACCACUCCGUCAACUAGGACUACAGUGAGAAUAAGAGCGUUUAUGAUUCGACCUACUCUUCAGGAUCGAAUCAAGGAAGCACAGGAUAAGGAUUCAUUUUUACAGAAGAUAAAAGCUGAGGUUGGUACAAACAAACGUAUAGGAUUUGAGGUAUCUGUGGAUAAUACGUUAACUUUUAAAGGAAGGUUGUGUGUACCUAAAGAUGAAAGUAUAAGAAAUGAGAUAUUGAAAGAGGCUCAUUCUACCCCGUAUGCUGCACAUCCAGGCAGUACAAAAAUGUAUCGAGAUCUCCGAGAUACAUUUUGGUGGAGAAACAUGAAGAGAGAAAUUGGACUAUUCGUGGAGAAAUGUAUUAUCUGUCAGCAAGUUAAGGCAGAACACCAAAGGCCAUCAGGAUUAUUGAACCCGUUGGAUAUACCAGAAUGGAAAUGGGAACAUAUAGCGAUGGAUUUUGUGGUAGGCUUUCCGAGGUCAGCAAGAGGACACAAUGCUAUUUGGGUAGUAGUUGAUCGUUUGACAAAAUCAGCCCAUUUUCUGCCUAUCAAAGUAAAUUUUAGUAUGGAACAGCUCGCGCAGUUAUAUAUCAGAGAGAUAGUCAGACUGCAUGGAGUUCCUGUCACCAUUGUUUCAGAUAGAGAUCCGAGGUUCACAUCAAAAUUUUGGAAAAGUUUGCAGACAGCCAUGGGGACGAAAGUGAAGUUUAGUACUGCUUAUCAUCCACAGACGGAUGGACAAUCCGAAAGAACCAUUCAAACUCUUGAAGAUAUGUUGAGGGCAUGUGUUUUGGACCUUGGCGGUAGUUGGGAGACACACCUACCGUUAGUGGAGUUUGCUUACAAUAAUAGUUUUCAAGCCACUAUAGGCAUGGCCCCAUAUGAAGCACUAUAUGGUAGAAAGUGCAGGUCCCCUAUCCAUUGGGAUGAGGUCGGGGAAAAGAGAAUUUUAGGUCCUGAAAUCAUUGAACGAACAGUUGAGGCUGUUGAUAAGAUUAGAGCAAGAAUAAAGGCAGCGCAAGAUCGACAGAAAAGUUAUGCUGACGUUAGAAGAAAAGAUUUAGAAUUCCAAGUGGGUGACAAAGUUUUUCUAAAAGUAGCACCAAUGAAAGGUGUGCUGAGGUUCGGAAAGAAAGGGAAGUUAAGACCACGAUUCAUUGGACCUUUUGAAAUUCUCGAAAGGAUUGGUAGUGUGGCUUACCGACUUGCCUUACCGCCUGAAUUGACAACAGUGCAUAACGUGUUUCAUAUUUCAAUGCUGAGAAAAUACGUCCAUGAUCCUAAUCACGUGGUGAAUUACCAAACUUUAGAGGUACAAAAGGACCUGUCUUACAAAGAAACCCCAAUGACGAUUUUAGACAGGAAAGUGCAUCAACUCAGGAAUAGAGAAGUUCCACUGGUUAAAGUGCUAUGGCGUAAUCAUGGACUGGAUGAGUCAACAUGGGAAAAGGAAGAUGAGCUUAAAAUCAAAUAUCCAGAACUCUUCAACUAGUUAAGGUAAAUUUUCGAGGACGAAAAUAUUUUAAGUAGGGGAGAUUGUAAAGCCCUGAAAAAUUUUAUAGAAUAGAAUUAAUUGUUUUAAAUUCUCAUUUCUUUGAGUCAAAUAAUUAGAUUUAAUGGAGCAAGUUUUAGUAUACCAAUAUUAGACUCUUUUUGUAACUUGUAAUUAAUUAGAAAUUUUUAACCAAAAAAAAGGUUAAUCAAAAUAGUUAGGCCCAAAAAUAUAAAGUUCAAAG